ensembl:processed_transcript
GUUUGUGUCCUGGAUUUCACUACCGCGGGUGGCGCCUCCAGCAGCUCGGAGGAAGGGACACUUUCUCCUCGCCAGUGGGCGCUCGGAUGCUCGCGGAGGUGACUGAUCGCGCAGCGUACCGCCGGCACGCAGUGGACGGCGCUGCCCAAACCCUACCCGGACCGUCCCUGCCGCGAGCCCACUCGGAACACCAGCUCUGAAACCUCGGAGCCCGGUUUUGUAUUUAGGAAUCUGACUGAAAUUGUUAGUCCUUUGUUUAUGGGUCUGAUGAAUUCUGCGCUGUCUUCUCUGCACCGAAUCACCUACACAUCUCCUGCCGGUGGGAAUUGUUGGUCCGACUUGCAACAGUUGAAAGAGACAAAUGACUUCACUUUAUACUGUAUUCCUUUAACUCAGUGACUAUGAAUCUAUGUCUGGACUCCUCGGUGAAGACAGAACAACUCCACCUUGAUCGUAGAAGCUGAUAGGCAAUAGACAUUUUAGACACUGACUAAUUCAAUAGAUGAUUAAUUCAGACCCUCAAAACUGGUGAAAGUCCUGAGAAUAAAUAGGGCUGAGCAUGAGACAUUGAUAUGAACACCCGUAAGAUGCUGUCUUCUGAACAUAAUAUGACUGAGUUGGCUGCUCACUCAUGAAUUCACAGCAAGUACCUGUACAAGACCUACACACGAUGGAGCCUGUCCAUCAAUAUUCUAGCAUACCUGCAUACCAGGGAAGGAAGGGUGUAUGAGGCCAGUAGUGAGGAGAUUGUUGGAAAUGAAUGGCUGCUGAGAGAGGCCAUCUAUUUUCUUCCAGUAAAUACCCUGACACCCAUGCUCAUGUACAAAACCCUAAUUAAACUCAGUGAGUCACUAAAAGAAAAGAAACCAAGAUCACAAACUAAAGCCUGGAUACGCUCAGUUCAGAUUUUUGAGGGCCUGAGGUGAGACGACUCUGGUAGUAAAGGCACUUCCUGCUAAGGCCAAUGAAUGCCCUGAGUUUGAUCCUAAGAGCCCUACAUGGUGGAAGGAGAGAACUGACUGCCAAAAGUUAUGCUCUGACCUUCACAAGUGCGCUGUGUUGUGCUCAGACACGAACACACAUGCACAAUAAACCAAUACAGAUUCAAAAGAGAGAUUGCUGAACAAAGAAUGAACCCCCCCCCAAUACCUCGUCCUACCCUGUCCAGGUGUAUAUUUAGUCUUAUUAUGAAAGACAGAAACAAACAAGCAAAAAACAAAACCUGCUUGGCUUUAUAUAUGCUGCAUAUAUAUUAAUUUGGAAAUUUAAAAAGAGUUAACUUUACUUCUUACACCUCCAAAUGUUGUGGAACAGUUCUGUUUGUCUAUGAUGAGCCAAAGUAUGCCUAUAUACUUUAAUACAAGAGGCAGAUGGAAAAGAAAUUCUAGAGUCUUGUCCACCAUGAUGGUAACGCUGGAAUCCUGCAACAAAGCUUGCCCAUCCUCAAAUUAUGCAGCUUUCAACUUCCAUGGAAAUCACGAACAGAAAUGUGCUACAUCUAGAUUUCAACUUCAACAACAACCAGUGUACUAACAAGCCGAGUGACUUCAAGCUCGUUAUUUAAUUCCCCUCUACUCGAUGGCAAAAAUGGAGAUUUUGAUGGUUGUCUUGCAGAGUUGAUACAAGGACUUGAAAUGAUGCAUUAAGGUACUCAAAUGAUGCCCAGUAUAUAGCAAUAGUUAAAAGAUGGACCUCAGGGGCUUGAGAGAUGGCUCACCAGAUAAUAGCCCACAAUGCCUUUGCAGAAUACCUGCGUCCAUAGCUCAGCACCCACAUCAGGCAGCUCACGAUACCCUGUUACUCAAGAAGAUCCAGUGCCUAUUCUGGCCUCCAUGGGCAACUGCAUUCACGUGUACAUACCCACAUUUAGGCACACGCACCCGCACAUAACUAAAAAUAAAAUAUUUUUAAAAGAAGCUACCUUUGAAACCAAAAUCACACUAGCUUCUUCAGCAUUUUCCCAAGUCCUCUGUGAGCUACAGAUGAUAAUUUCCAUUAACUUGAAAGGAUCAAAGACCCACAUAUCAGAAGCCACAAAGGCAGCCUUUGUAGAUGUCGUGUAAAGGGACUGCUGACCACCUAUCAGGCCUUUGGGAUCACACAAAAAGCAGUUCAACAAUUCCUACCCUCUCCGUCCCCGCUAAAUCCAGUGUUUUCUUCUCCCCUCACCUAUUUUUCACUCCUGGCCAGUCUUCUUUCUGUUUCUCAAACAUACUCCUUCCUACUUCAGGGCCUUUGCAGACUCCUGCCAGGACUAUGCUUGCCCCAGAUCCUUACACAGUCUUCUCCAUCAGUGCCACCUCACAGCCUUCCUGGAAGUACUCCCUGGCCUGUGCUGUGAGGUUGCAUACCAUGCUACUCCUGCACUGCUGUGUCAUCUUCAUAGCGCUUAACAUCUACCUAGAUUUUGGAUUUGGUUUGAUUUUGUGGGGUGGGUUUUUGUUUUUGUUUUUGUUUCUGUUUGUUUUGGUUUGGGGUUUUUUUGUGGUUUGGGUUUUUUAUGUUUGUUUGUUUGUUUGUUUUCUACCAGUAAGAUAAUGAUGACUCAAUAAAGAGGUUCCACCUUC